rnacentral:lncRNA from 1 species
UUGCUAAUCGCCCUCAAGCUGGGGAUUAACAAAUCUGUUAAAAAUAAUCUGCUGGGGAAUGAGAUGAACACUAGGAACGCCACCCUCUCAUCUGUUGGUUAUGCAACCACUCCGCUGUUGCUAGGAAGAUACAGUCUGACACUGUCAACUCCGCUGGGGAUAUAUAGUCUGGAUACUGUCAACUCUACUGGGGAUAGACAGUCUGGAUACUGUC